UGUCAGUAAUGUUGACGAUUGCAGGCCUACUGACGAGUGCAUUGUGUAGUAAACAUCCUUUCCCCAUCCUCAUGUGACAUGGUUUCAUUCUGUAGGCAAAACAACAAACCACACUUCACCUGGAAAACACAGCCAGGACUCACUGUCAGAUGUCUGAAAAUGUACAGUACACGCCAGCAGGUCUCACCAUAGUCAACAUCAUUAAGGAUUUGACUCUCUGACCUGAGAAGAGGCCCCAUAAACACACCUGACAAGGACCAGCCACUGUUGCCAGUGCACAACUGAGGACCUGACCAGCCUGCUGCCAUCUAUGAUACUAUAUAGUACCCGCGGAGGUGUCUGAAGACGUGGAGUACACUGCAGCAGGUAUCACAUGACCAAGGACUUGGACAACGUCUCUGUUUACAUCUAUAAUGUAUUACACAACUGAAGAUGUGCACAGUACGCUGCUGCCUGCAUCCUACCACCACAGAGGAUCCGAUGUGCAGAACCAGCUUCAAAAGCCAUUGCAAUUAUGAAACACAGUUAAUAAAUGCUUAUAUACAGCAGCCCGCACAUUUUGUUUAAUUUGUUAUAUUGGUUAACCACACUAUUGUUACAACACAAUGCAGGUGGUACAUGCAUUGGCAGGUAUCAAUAAAAAUAAAUAUAUGGAGCAUAAUCAUAUUGGGAUAGAGCAGUGGUUCCUAACCUAUGGGUCAGGACCCAACUUAUGGGUCGCCAAAGAUCCACAGUGGGUCGCGAAGCCCUCUUGAUUUUAAGGGGUUUCGUUUUAAUACCAUAUAGCCCAUGUUGAAUAUAUGAUAAAGUAAAGCUUUUAAACUGAUAUAUGCAUAGAGGCAACAAAAUGUAAGCGACACAUUAAACAGUCAUUCUAUAUUUGACUGAAGACAAAUUGAGGAAUACAAUUUUCUAAUGAGUUUCCGCAGGACUCCCUCUCGCCUGGGACUCCCUCUCGCCUGGGACUCCCUCUCGCGUGGGCGCUGGCACGAUUGGGUCACCAAAGCUUACAAUGGUAAAAAUAUGGGUCCCUGAAGAAAAAGGUUGGGAACCACUGGGAUAGAGGAAG